GGCACAUUUAAGCUGUGCGCUCGCAGACGCGCAACUCAUGCAAGUGAUCAAAAUGCUAGAGCAUCCCAUUUAAAAUUUAAACUGUCACAGAAAGUCAGUUGAGUUGAAAGCCUGAGGGGGUGACAUUACCCUGCGAGCACAAACAAGAAAUGUCGACAAAACUGUUUCAUCUGGGCCUGCAGUAUUCUCCACCAGGAGAAGAAAUUCAUACACAUCUGGUAUGGCAUGAGGCAAAGGCUUUCACCUUACUCAGAGAGCACUUCUGAAAUUCUGGCCACCAACAUCAUCAAAAGAGCCAUGAGAAGUGAAAGUCAAAGGGGACAUUUGACCUCAAAACAAUGACAUAAACAAUAUCAUAAAAGUGUCUCUGGAGUGCAGCAUUACUGGUUUGACCAUCUUCAUAGAGAUAAAACACAACACUCCUCUUUUUCAUG